GGCAAAGGGCUAUGUCCUCCACCUGCCUCACCCGGCUGACAAGAGUUCCUGUCACCAGCCACCUCCUCUGUCUGGGGCCCUUGAGGGAGCCCAGAAUCCUAAGCGGCUGGAGCACUGGGGGACACCCAGACAGAGCCCUCGCUGGACCAAGUCCUCCAGGAGCGGGAUGAAGCCAUUGCCAAGAAACAGGCUGUGGAGGCUGAGCUGGACACAUGCAAAGCCAAGUUACGAGCUGCAGAGGCCCAGCUGCUGGAGGUCCUGGAGGAGAAACUGAGACUGAGGCAGGAGGUGGAGGCCUGGGAGGAGGACAUGCAGCGGCUGGUGAGGCAGCUGGUCGAGAGUCAGCUGCAGAGAGAGUCCAGCAGCACUCUGAGAGCCCCCAUGCAACCCGGAACAGCCAGGACCCCAUGGGGUCAAUUCCCCCAGCGUUGGUGGGGGCGUUGGUGGUGAGAGCGCUCAGCCCAGAACCUUGAGAGCAGUAUGUUUAUUCAUUAAAACUUGAGGUCU